CCCCAUGAGCUGGCAUGUAACCUUGGGAAAUGUUAGAAAGAAAACUACUCAAGACCUGGGCUUCUGAAUGGAGCAUUAAGGCCUCUACAGUGUGAGAGAGGGCUUACUAGACUGGAGCACAUGUUCGUUCUUCCAGGAAGCCGAAGUUAGGACAUAAGACUGGCUUCCAAGCCUUGUGUCUGUGCAUACAUAAAUAAGCUGGUUGUAUGGGGCAAAGCUGAGCGCCUACCCGGUGUUAACUGCUCUCGGGGCAAAGUGGCUAGUGUUUACAGUACUGUAAGAGAGUAAAGGCCUCUCUCCGGUUUCCUUAAGUAAUUUGGGGGUCAGUGAAGGAAUGUCACUGUAGUAAGCGCUGGGGGGGGGGAUAUUCUUAAAUGCCUUCGUGAGGAGGCUGGGGGUAAGGGGGGUCCGGCCCUCGUAGGCACGUAUGCCAAGGCAUUGGCUCCUGACUCCUGGUUGGUAUUUAGGAAGAAAUGGACGGGGCAAGGGUGUUUCUAGCAAGGAGUAAAGCAGAGUUAAGUCCCAGGGAAUUCCUGUUGGGCGGAUGCCCUUCCCGGCCCCGCAUACUCCCUGCAAUAGGCCAAGAGCUGCGCGGCCCGCAAAGGGACUUUGGAGUUUUCCUGGCUCCUUCCCACCGGAGUCUGACGCUGGUCUACCACGAAGCGCACCAGUCCCCGUAGGCGCAGAGGGUUUCUAAAGCUUUUGGAAUACUGGGCAGAGUGCUGUUCCAGGAUAGCUCGAGGAAUCUUUUCGUGGCAUUGGCUCCUAGCUUAGCCCCUUGGUUCGGGACUCGGAAAUCUGUCAAGCGUGCCCAGCCGAUUAGGCUGGCGCUCCGAGGAGUACGGGCGGCGCAUGCGUGCAAGAAGGGCGGCACGGCCGCUCUAGCCUCACCACGUCUCGGUGGCCGGUUGGUUUCUUCCGCUUGCCGCGCGGCCCACCGCUCUAGGACGGUAGUCUCGCUGGUCUCCGCUCUAGAUCAGUGGUAGGUCUGGAAAUGGCUGCGGGAUCCCUGCGGCCCGGGAGCUUGGUCAAGAGGCAGUCCCCACUGUCCCUUUGGUUGUUUGAAGCUCCGAAAUCUUCUCAUUGAUGAACUGUGACUGACAACAGUGUGGUGAGGCUUGUCCAUCUGCUGGACUUGGCCUCAGGUUUAUUAUUUUAUGUAGGAUUUUCAGCCAAACAUUUCCAAACUUUCAGUUUUGGGACAGGUUUUUUGUUUUUAUGCAGUCCUUAUCUUAAGAUGGAAGAUGCAGUAGAGUCAUCCGCCACCAGCAUUUAAAUGCAGCUCAAGCCUGCACAGCCAGGAAGAGAAUUCUCAAGGUAUACUCUCUUCCAGCUCUGUCAUUCUGAACAAGAAUAAAGAUUUCAUCUUUUAAAAAGAAAGUGAAAGACCUGGGUGUGUGGUGGUACUUGUAAAUCUCAGUGCUUAGGAUGCUAAGUAAGGCAUGAGGAUCUCUACAAGUCUAAAGCUGACCUUUGCUACAGAGUAGUAGCAAGACCCUGGGAAGACAGACAUG